UUUAGCUGGAGAGGUCAGCCAGGUAGCAGUACGGUGAAAGUGUGUUUCCUAGGAAAUGAACUUGUCCUAAGGGCUCAGCUGAAAAAAGAAUGUCCCUGUCUCUGUCCCCUCUCUUUCCCCAACCUCCUACAUGCUCCCACUGCUUGCCUUGGGCUAAUCAGCUCAUCAUUGGGCACCUCUGUCAGCUCAGCCCAGUCAGGCAGCAGGGAGCAGACACAGCAAGCUGGAUAUUCAUCUGCAGUGAUGACAAUGAAAUUGCCUCAUGGAGAGGGUCAGUGCCCAACAGAGUCCUCAGAAGGGAUGCAGCUGGAUUCUGGAGGCAGAGGCAGAAGGAAGAAGAGCUAUGCAAGUGGGAAGGAAGAGAGGGACCCUUUCCUUUCAGAAAUAGGGAGUCAUGAAGACAACCUGAGGAAACAGUUUUCAUGAGAUCUCAGCCUGUGCUCUGGCUUUCCGCGCCUAAUGCACAGCCAAACAUUUGGCUUCUGGGCCUGAAAACAAAACUCUGCAAAAAAGCAUCCAAUGAUGCCUCUCUUUAGGAUCCUUCCUGGCAUGCUUGCUGUGGGAAUGCUGACAGGAAAGGCAGUGGGGCACCAUAUGUCCACCCUUAUGCCUGCUGUAACACCUCACCUCCCUGCCUUGGGCUGCCUCUUGUUUGGCUCUUGCUUUUGCUGUACACCCUCUUGUGGUGGUACAAAACAUCAGCUGUUCCAACGUUUUAUAAAGGUGUCGUUGAGUUGCUCAUUAUGAUUUGGACAUUUAUACUUUGCCUGAUUAAAAAAACCCUGUUGGGCUUUAUUUGGCUUGCUUUCUGUGAGCUUGGGGUGAGCAUGAUCACUGGCAACACAGAGGGCAAGGGCUCCAUUCCUGCAUCUGACCCUAUGUCAUUGCUGCUUAUUUUGGAAAGGCUCAGUCACCAUUUUUCUUAUUAUUGUGGCUUUUUCUUAUUGCUGGAAGAAAGUUCCUGUAUUAUCUUCCUCUUCUCAAGAAAUAUCCUGGUUAUCACUGGGGGAUGUUUCAAAUUGUCGAACAGAAGCCUUGGCAGUACAUGACAUACAGUGCACAGUGACAAACUGCUCUGUUAUUUUGGUGGGGAAACUGCAUCUUUCCCCUUUCCACUUCUUGGCCAAGUGCUCUCAGUCUUGGGAAGACAAACAAGUUCUUGUACUGCGGGUGAGAAAACUUCUGCGAGAGGCUCUCGGCGUGCUCCUGAAGGAGAAAACUGAUCCCUCAGCACAGCCUGCUGGCUGCUGGCAGCACCACAAGCAAGGAGGCAAAUCACAGGUUCGUGGGUAAGAGUGGAAACAAAGGAUCAUGAUUUUUUGGCUUCAUUAUCCCCAGUACAAGGUUUUGGGUUUUUGCCUUCCCCUCUUCUGCACUUGUACAAGUUUGUGAUUGUCUCAGCUCACAUUUGAGGAAGUUUUGCAGAGAGGUGACAGCAUUUACAGCAAGUGUGAAAAUGGGAGAUGCUGUCUGGGACACUGACCCUCUCCAGAGCCGAAACAGAAGCAGUAAAAUGAAACCAAGGUCAGUCUGGAGAUAAAGAUGUUCUUUAGUGAGAAAGAGCAAGUAAGCACCUGAGCAGCAAAGACAGUAAAUUCAGUUCAACUUGGCUAGUGCUUCAGUUCAUGCAUUACAGCAGCUAUGAAGAUGACUCUGCUAGUGGUGUCAUUUGCUGUGAAAUUUGGAAAUUUUUCUCUACAAAUGUCAGGAGGAGCUCCAAAUCAGAUUUUAUAUUAUUGUAAAACACACACAUCACCUUCCCAGAUAGAAGUGAUAUUUCAUCACGAGCAUAAUUUGCUUUCUGUGAAACAAUUUAUUCUGUUCAUCUUGCUGCUCAUGACAUGAGGCAAUUCAGGCAGCUGUGUUGUUUCUGAAAUGUGUUUUCUAACACAAGAAAAAGAAUGACUUAUGGUGCUGGUACUAUUAGGAAGGAGCAGAUGACAGCCUCAGGACUGAGGCAGCAAACAAAGCUCAGCACUUUGGAGACAUUGUCACAAAUGACAUCUUCAAAAGAGGAUGUGGGAAUGAGGAUGGGAAGAGAAAGGAAGCCUAUCCCAUAAGGAAUCAGAGAAAUCAUGAAGGCAGAGUUUGUGUGACAGCGCUGUUCAUACAAAAAAUCAGUGUGUGAAGUAAACCCUGGGAAUAAAGUUCAGAUGCAGGAAGGUGUGCACUGGUUUAGGAGCACAGCUGCUCUGGGGGAUUCUAGGGUGACCUGGCUGAACCACAGCCCAGGCAGGACUGGACAUCACACCAGCUGACAUCUGGACCUGGAUUAAUGACACAGGACAAGAGAAUCCCGUGGAGAGAAAAAACAGGCUGCAAAUCUGCCUUAGUUCCUGAGUUCCAUUUGUUUCAUAGACACCACCAGGCAAGGUAAGCAGAGAAAGAUAAGACGUAGUAAACCAUGGCUUGGAUGUCAAGGAUAGGAAGGUGACACAAAGGAAACCACAGCAGGUUCAGUUCCCAAGGAUGUGUUUCACACAAGAGGCAGCUGGAAUAGGUCAGCACUCUGGGCCUGAGCUUUGCAAUGUGGCCUGAACCAUGAUGCCACUUUUGGCAAUGUUCACAAAAAAAAAAAAAAUCAGUUUCUCCAGCCUUCAGUUUUCCAGUCAAUUUGUUGCUUUGGAAGAUAUGAAAUCCUACUGUGUGGGUUUACACCUUCCCUGAUAUACCAUCUACCUCCUGGAGAGGAGACAGUGAUAAAUUCUGUUUAUAGUUCAAGAAAGACAUAGCUAUCUCUGGGAUCUUAUGCCACCUGCAGCCUCCCAGAGUUUCACAGCAAAAUUACUUUGGAUGAGGAUCUUUGCAACAAUUUUGUACUCCUACUUUGUCUGUCAAAAUUUCCAAUAAAG